rnacentral:rRNA from 1 species
GACGAACCGUGCGAACGUUAUUCGGAAUCACUGGGCUUAAAGCGCGUGUAGGCGGGACGGCACGUCGGCCGCUGAAAUCCCCCGGCUCAACCGGGGAAGGGGCGCGGAUACGACCGGCCUGGAGGGGGGUAGGGGGCGCUGGAACUCACGGUGGAGCGGUGAAAUGCGUUGAGAUCGUGAGGAACGCCCGCGGCGAAAGCGAGCGCCUGGACCCUUUCUGACGCUGAGACGCGAAAGCCAGGGGAGCGAACAGG